rnacentral:rRNA from 1 species
AACGAACGCUGGCGGCAUGCCUAACACAUGCAAGUCGAACGAGACCUUCGGGUCUAGUGGCGCACGGGUGCGUAACGCGUGGGAACCUGCCCUUAGGUUCGGAAUAACUCCCCGAAAGGGGUGCUAAUACCUGAUAAUGUCUUCGGACCAAAGAUUUAUCGCCUUUGGAUGGGCCCGCGUUGGAUUAGCUAGUUGGUGGGGUAAAAGCCUACCAAGGCGACGAUCCAUAGCUGGUCUGAGAGGAUGAUCAGCCACACUGGGACUGAGACACGGCCCAGACUCCUACGGGAGGCAGCAGUGGGGAAUAUUGGACAAUGGGCGAAAGCCUGAUCCAGCAAUGCCGCGUGAGUGAUGAAGGCCUUAGGGUUGUAAAGCUCUUUUACCCGGGAUGAUAAUGACAGUACCGGGAGAAUAAGCUCCGGCUAACUCCGUG